CCUGUCUUUAUGCCAGGAGAUCUGCGUUUUAGGUUCUUAGAGAGCUGCUGGUUUCGACAAUGAGCUUUAUAUGUGAAACCAAAGCAGCGCGCUUCAAAGAAGAGCGGAGGUUCACAGGUGUUUGAGUUUGCUGUAACUCCACGGGCUUAUCAGGUGAACUCGCCGAGAUCUUCCUUUCAAUGAGAACACCGGGGAUUCAUUUUACUCUGUAUGUUUGUUAGCGUUAGCAUUAGCACUGACGCUGUAACCAACUUUAGCGUGAUCUCACCAUCUACUUAGAGGCGACUGGACCAAAGCUGUAUACUAUCAUUAUCUGGAGUUUGAUGGUUCUUAAAGAUGUCUCAAAGUAGCUGCGUUUACAUGGGCAUAAAUAGUCGGAAUAAAUGCCCGAUCGGAAUAAAAAUAAAUGCGUCAUUUGGAAGAUUCUGAUCCAAUUCGGCUCAAUCGGAAAGAAAUUGUAUUCCGAUCGAGGGGGCUGGUUUAUGCCGAUCGUUAUUCCGAAACGUCCAUAUAAACACUUAAUUCCGAUCGUGACUCUCUUACCUGACUCCAUCUUCAUUCUUUAGUCUUGGGUUUAUUUAUUGAGGCCGGUACAGGAGGUCUCAUUAUUAACACUCUGGCUUAAAACAAAACCGCAGGUGCCGUGUCUGCUCUUCCGGUAACAUAACACGGCGUACAUACAGCGUAAUGAUGUCACAUCUGCACGCACAGUGCAACCUUUGACAGAACAGUAAAAUAAGUACGCAAGGGCGCCAUCUAGUGACAACAUUUAACAGGGGGAAAACUCUUGAGUUGGAUGGAGUGUGCCACUUUGGGUGGCAGUAGCUCAGGAGACUGCUCCUUGGGCAAGAUACUUAACCCACCUUGCUCCCAGUGUGUGUCCUCCACUGGUGUAUGAGUGUUGUGUGUUGGUGGUCGGAGAGUCCAUAGGCGCAAUGAAUGAUGUAUUCAGGGUCAAACACUUUGAGGGUCUCUAAUGAAGUGCUAUAUGAUAUCUGAUGCAUUAUUUACUACUGCAUUUGUUGACAGCACAGGCGUAAAUACAACUCUUCUUCUGCGGUUGUUUUAGCAAAAAAUGCCCUUAAUCUGAAUUAAACUUGGUGCAUGCAUAAACAUCAUGAUCAGAUUAUUUAAUUAUGAACCCGUAUAAACAGUGGAUUCAGAUUAUCCGAUCCCUCAUAUUUUUAAUCCGAUCGAGAAAUUUUGCCCAUGUAAACGUGGCUACUUUUGACGUUACUGAAGCCCGAAGAUCUAAACCAGUGACCAACUAACUGGGUUCAAGUUUGCACGUUGCUGUUUUUGUCAAACUUUAUUUUUGGUUUACAAUUUUAACAUUUCCUAGUUUCAACUGUUUCAAACUUUAUCCAGAACUUCAGGUCAAUCCCAGCCAUUACUCCUUAAAUCAAAGGGCUAAAUUAACCAUUUAGUCAUCGCCUUUAACAAACUGUUUUUACUUCUCUCACCACUUUCUAAUAAGUUCUCAUAACACUGAGCUACUGAAAAUUGAGCUACCCUGCAACCUUUCUAACCCUGAGCAUUCAGGAGGGUACAAUGACCCUGGUAAGGAGAGAAAUAAAUUGGAAAAACAAUCCAGUCCAGCUUUCUGACUGCAACUUGUAGUCAGACUGUGUAGACAGCUCAGUUUGAGAAAAACUGAGAUGUUUAUUGAGCUGAUAUCUGCCAAGUCCGACUAAAUUUGGAACAGCAACACCACAAGCGCUCUCGAGAGGGACGUGCCUUCUGCUAUAACCACCUAAUAACACACAUCGUAUCAACUAGAUCCAUCUGUUGAGAAGACACAGGUAAUGUGUGUGACCCUAUUUUCUCCGCCUCUCUAGCUGAGAAGUGCUGCCUGUUCAGGGUCGAGGAGUGUGAGCGCCGGGGAGCCGGGCCUGCUGUGCUGGGGAGGAAAUUCUCAGGGCGAUCGAUGCGGAG